rnacentral:rRNA from 1 species
UGGCGACGGGUGAGUAACACGUGAGCAACCUGCCUUUCAGAGGGGGAUAACGUUUGGAAACGAACGCUAAUACCGCAUAAAAUAUCGGAGUCGCAUGGCACUGAUAUCAAAGGAGCAAUCCGCUGAAAGAUGGGCUCGCGUCCGAUUAGGCAGUUGGCGGGGUAACGGCCCACCAAACCGACAAUCGGUAGCCGGACUGAGAGGUUGAACGGCCACAUUGGGACUGAGACACGGCCCAGACUCCUACGGAAGGCAGCAG